rnacentral:tRNA from 1 species
AGUAAAAUACCUUAUAAAAGGGUUGCCUUGAUGCGGCAAACAUGUCUUUUGACUUUUACUA